CCGUACGGGGCGCAGCAGGCGCGAGAACUUUACAAUGCGGGAAACCGUGAUAAGGGGACACCGAGUGCCAGCAUCAUAUGCUGGCUGUCCAGAUGUGUAAAAUACAUCUGUUAGCAAGGGCCGGGCAAGACCGGUGCCAGCCGCCGCGGUAACACCGGCGGCCCGAGUGGUGAUCGUGAUUAUUGGGUCUAAAGGGUCCGUAGCCGGUUUGGUCAGUCCUCCGGGAAAUCUGAUGGCUCAACCAUUAGGCUUUCGGGGGAUACUGCCAGGCUUGGAACCGGGAGAGGUAAGAGGUACUACAGGGGUAGGAGUGAAAUCUUGUAAUCCCUGUGAGACCACCUGUGGCGAAGGCGUCUUACCAGAACGGGUUCGACGGUGAGGGACGAAAGCUGGGGGCACGAACCGGAUUAGAUACCCGGGUAGUCCCAGCCGUAAACGAUGCUCGCUAGGUGUCAGGCAUGGCGCGACCGUGUCUGGUGCCGCAGGGAAGCCGUGAAGCGAGCCACCUGGGAAGUACGGCCGCAAGGCUGAAACUUAAAGGAAUUGGCGGGGGAGCACAACAACGGGUGGAGCCUGCGGUUUAAUUGGACUCAACGCCGGACAACUCACCGGGGACGACAGCAAUA
rnacentral:rRNA from 1 species